UUGCUGUGAUGCUUUGAAUUUCUUCAACUGAAUAUUAUAUGUGGAUUAAAAACAAACGUUUUAACCCUGAGCUAA
ensembl:snoRNA SNORD36 Small nucleolar RNA SNORD36